CCUACGGGCGGCAGCAGUGGGGGAUAUUGCACAAUGGGGGGAACCCUGAUGCAGCGACGCCGCGUGGGUGAAGAAGCGCCUCGGCGCGUAAAGCCCUGUCAGCAGGGAAGAAAAUGACGGUAACAGAAGAAGAAGCCCCGGCUAACUACGUGCCAGCAGCCGCGGUAAUACGUAGGGGGCAAGCGUUAGCCGGAUUUACUGGGUGUAAAGGGGGCGCAGCCGGGGAUGCAAGCCAGGAGUGAAAGGCCGGGGCUCAACCCCGGGACUGCUCUUGGAACUGCGUGGCUGGAGUGCAGGAGGGGCAGGCGGAAUUCCUGGUGUAGCAGUGAAAUGCGUAGAUAUCAGGAGGAACACCGGUGGCGAAGGCGGCCUGCUGGACUGCAACUGACGUUGAGGCCCGAAGGCGUGGGGAGCAAACAGGAUUAGAUACCCUUGUAGUC
rnacentral:rRNA from 1 species